rnacentral:tRNA from 1 species
GCAGCCGUAGCUCAGCUGGACAGAGCGCUGCCCUCCGAAGGCAGAGGUCACAGGUUCGAAUCCUGUCGGGUGCGCCA